rnacentral:rRNA from 1 species
UACGUAGGGUGCGAGCGUUGUCCGGAAUUAUUGGGCGUAAAGGGCUCGUAGGCGGUUUGUCGCGUCGGGGAGUGAAAACCCAGGGCUUAACUCUGGGCUUGCUUUCGAUACGGGCAGACUAGAGGUAUGCAGGGGAGAACGGAAUUCCUGGUGUAGCGGUGAAAUGCGCAGGAUAUCAGGAGGAACACCGGUGGCGAAGGCGGUCUCGUGGGCAUUAUCCUGACGCUGGAGGAGCUGAA